UGCCUGUAAGACUGGGAUAACUUCGGGAAACCGGAGCUAAUACCGGAUAAUAUAAAGAACCUCCUGGUUCUUUAUUGAAAGAUGGUUUCGGCUAUCACUUACAGAUGGGCCCGCGGCGCAUUAGCUAGUUGGUGAGGUAAUGGCUCACCAAGGCGACGAUGCGUAGCCGACCUGAGAGGGUGAUCGGCCACACUGGGACUGAGACACGGCCCAGACUCCUACGGGAGGCAG
rnacentral:rRNA from 1 species